rnacentral:lncRNA from 1 species
UGAAUGACUUAUUACACCUUUUGUUGGCAUGUUCACAUCAUGUUUCCUUGCACAAGAUGUUCGGCAUAGUUACUACCCCCUUGACAUCUCCAAUCUCAAUCUCAAGCUCAAUUGUUGAGUCACUCUCCUCACCACCUUGGGAAACAAGGCCGUAACUCUAAACUUGGAUACUGCUCAUUCUUGAGGGUUUUUUUUUUUAAGUUUGAAUUCAACAUUGAGUACAUGUGUGAGGCCAUAGUUUCUGAGGAGUGGGAGUAGAGAAUAACUAUCAUCUUAUCAAAUUAUAAAUAGAAGAGUUGCAUGGAGUGGAAGCAACCCUGGGUGUGUCUUGUAUGCGGGCACCCAAGAACCUAUCACUGAAAGGUCAAUUACAUUUAUUUGAAGAAAACUCCCUUUUUUUUCUUUGUUUGCCACUACCCAACAAGGAGAACUUGUUCCAUACAGCAUCCAUAUAUUAAAAGUGUCUUCAUACUAAAGGUCUGGUCAGCCAUGCUCAUAGCACAACAACAAUGAUCAUGGCUUACAUAUAUUGGCCACCCUAUCACACAACCCUGGUGAUAAACAAAAUUCCCAAUUUAAAGUAGGUAAUGACACAUACUGAUUGUAUAAUGACCUUAAUAAUUGCUUACAAUGUGUGUGUGUGUGUAUAUAUAUAUAUAUAUAUAUAUAUAUAUAAAUAAAAAUAAAAUAAAUGAACAAAAUUGACACUGGAAGAAAUCUUCUCUCUGCUACAGUUGUUAACACAGUGGAGGGAGGGAGGGUGUGUGUGUGUGUGUUGCCAAGCAUGUUGGCAGGCAGUCAAGUAAUAGUCAAAUAUUGUUUGGCCAGUAUCAAAAUCUAUUGACCAGCCAGCAGAUACAAAAAGAUUGUAUCAGUCACUCCAGAAUUGUCAUCACUGUCUCUUCACACAUAUGCACUAUCACCCCUAUAGAUAUAUAUAUAUAUAUAUAUAUGUAAAGUCUGAUGUGAAUUGAUCAUAUUCUCACUCACCAAUCAGUACAUCCUGAGAAAAAUCAGUUUACGCAUAAUAUUAAGGACAGGUGCUCAUGUGUAUGCACUGCCCCAACCAACUUGGAGUUCAAGCCAUCUGCACACCCAAUCAAUUUAAGAGGAUAACAACCUUAACUGGGCUUUCCACAUGUAGUCCUUGUUGGUUUAUUAUCACAGGCAGGUGUGAAGAUUAAUUCUUCCAGGGCUUGAAUCUACAGUAAAUUGGAUCUUGACCACAAGGACACAUGACAUAAAACACAUUGCAGCCAUACCUGGAAAUUGUAGAGCAACAUGGUUGACGUAACAAUUGGAAAUAUUUUGUCCCACAAAUAUUCAAACUGUAGCUGAAACAUUCAUGGGAUGAGAAUCUCAAAGAUGAACAAUUAUUGAAAGUCUUUUGAGUGACAAAGACUGUCUUCAAACCAUCACAUUCUCAAGAUACAGAAUUGUUUAUGACUUUUAGUCUGAGAUCACUGGAAGCCCUAACCCUAAACCAUGUUACACUAAAUUGUAUAUGCUCAGAGAGCAGCAGUUAAAGAGGGGAAUCGGCAGGGAAUCCUAUGAAUAGACAGGAAGCAGAAUGAAUUUAUGGGGGAGAAUUGCUUUGGCUGCUGAGGGCAAUGGCCUCACAGCAUUGGGUUGGUAAUAAACUCCACAUUCUGCUCGAAGGCUGCUCAUUAAAUGCUACUCCCCUCCUCCAUUGCUUGUGCCACCCUGUCCCACUUCUUCUCAUUGGGGAAUGAGAGAGAACAGUUUGCCAUGUGCACUAACAUGUGUGGGAACCAUUUUAAUCCAGAAGAUGAAGAAAAUAUUAUAGAUUUCAUUGGGUGGAGGACCAUUUAGAUGGUUGUUGUUGGGUACCAUUCAAAGUGCAGUAUUGUGAAUGCUUUUGGAACAACAAUCCUGUCUCACUCUCUCCAUACAAAACUAUGGCAUUUAUGCAAAAUUACAUGCUCAAAACCUUAGCUGUCUGUAAGUGUCUUAUUUUAUUGCUGUUCAUUGUUUGUGAUAAUCUGGAUUAAAGAUACAUUCCUCUUGAUUAUUUGAUUCCAUACUUAUUUUCACUUGAUGUAAGGGCUUUUGAGAAAAUGCUAUGAUGUGUUUUUUCAUGAAAAAGUAGCAUGUUCAUAAAACUUUUAACUUAUCUUUCUUAAUAUCAAUGUUAUCCUACAUUACAGUGUUUUUGGUUCAUACAUAUAUAUAUAUAUACAUACCCAUAUUGAUAGAUGUCAAAGUUGGUUGCUAGAUUUUAUUGCAAUCAUGUUUAGUGAAACAAACAUGUAACUUUUUUUCAUAAAUUCUUAAACAUGAAAGAUAUAACAUAGAAGUAAGUUUUGCAUAUGA